UACGGGGGGGGUAAGCGUUGUUCGGAAUUACUGGGCGUAAAGGGCUCGUAGGCGGCCAACUAAGUCGGACGUGAAAUCCCUCAGCUUAACUGGGGAACUGCGUCCGAUACUGGAUGGCUUGGAUUUGGGAGAGGGAUGCGGAAUUCCAGGUGUAGCGGUGAAAUGCGUAGAUAUCAGGAGGAACACCGAUGGCGAAGGCAGGUCUCUGGGCCACUACUGACGCUGAGAAGCGAAAGCGUGGGGAGCGAACAGG
rnacentral:rRNA from 1 species